rnacentral:rRNA from 1 species
CUACGGGUGGCUGCAGUGGGGAAUCUUGCGCAAUGGGCGAAAGCCUGACGCAGCAACGCCGCGUGAGCGAAGAAGGCCUUCGGGUUGUAAAGCUCUGUCAGGGGGAAAGAAGGCACCUGGGUUAAUAGCCCAAGGGCUGACGGUACCCCCAAAGGAAGCCACGGCUAACUACGUGCCAGCAGCCGCGGUAAUACGUAGGUGGCAAGCGUUGUCCGGAAUCAUUGGGCGUAAAGCGCGCGUAGGUGGUUUGUCAGGUCCGAUGUGAAAUCCUGGGGCUCAACUCCAGGCGUGCAUUGGAAACCGGCUUACUAGAGUCUGGGAGAGGAGAGUGGAAUUCCUGGUGUAGCGGUGAAAUGCGUAGAUAUCAGGAGGAACACCAGUAGCGAAGGCGGCUCUCUGGAACAGUACUGACGCUGAGGCGCGAAAGCUAGGGGAGCGAACAGGAUUAGAUACCCUGGUAGUC